GAUGAACGCUGGCGGCGUGCCUAACACAUGCAAGUCGAGCGGACGGACGAGACGUUUGCUUGUCUGAUGUUAGCGGCGGACGGGUGAGUCACACGAGGAUACCCUACCUAUAAGACUGAGAUCACUUCGGGAAACCGGAGAUAACACCGGAUAAUAUUUUGAACCGCAUGGUUCAUCGGAGAAAGACGGUCUUGCUGUCACUUAUAGAUGGAUCCGCGCUGCAUUAGCUAGUUGGUACGGUAACGGCUUACCAAGGCUACGAUGCGUAGCCGACCUGAGAGGGUGAUCGGCCACACUGGAACUGAGACACGGUCCAGACUCCUACGGUAGGCAGCAGUAGGGAAUCUUCGGCAAUGGGCGAAAGCCUGACGGAGCAACGCCGCGUGAGUGAUGAAGGUCUUCGGAUCGUAAAGCCCUGUUAUUAGGGAAGAACAGAUGUGUAAUUAACUGUGGACAUCUUGACGGUACCGAAUCAGAAAGCCACGGCUAACUACGUG
rnacentral:rRNA from 1 species